rnacentral:rRNA from 1 species
UGGGGAAUAUUGGACAAUGGGCGAAAGCCUGAUCCAGCCAUGCCGCGUGUGUGAAGAAGGUCUUCGGAUUGUAAAGCACUUUAAGUUGGGAGGAAGGGCAUUAACCUAAUACGUUAGUGUUUUGACGUUACCGACAGAAUAAGCACCGGCUAACUCUGUGCCAGCAGCCGCGGUAAUAAAGAGGGUGCAAGCGUUAAUCGGAAUUAAUGGGCGUAAAGCGCGCGUAGGUGGUUUGUUAAGUUGGAUGUGAAAUCCCCGGGCUCAACCUGGGAACUGCAUUCAAAACUGACUGACUAGAGUAUGGUAGAGGGUGGUGGAAUUUCCUGUGUAGCGGUGAAAUGCGUAGAUAUAGGAAGGAACACCAGUGGCGAAGGCGACCACCUGGACUAAUACUGACACUGAGGUGCGAAAGCGUGGGGAGCAAACA